AUUGAACGCUGGCGGCAGGCUUAACACAUGCAAGUCGAGCGAGCGGCGGACGGGUGAGUAAUGUCUGGGAAACUGCCUGAUGGAGGGGGAUAACUACUGGAAACGGUAGAUAAUACCGCAUACCAUCAGAUGUGCCCAGAUGGAAUUAGCUAGUAGGUGGGGAAAUGGCUACCCUAGGCGACGAUCCUUAGCUGGUUUGAGAGGAUGACGAGCCAAACAGGAACAGAGCCACGGUCCAGACGCCUACGGAGGGCAGCAGUGGGGAACUUUGCACGAUGGGCGCAACCCUAAUGCCGGCAUGCCGCGUGAUUGAAGAAGGCCUUCGGGUUUUAAAGCACUUUCAGCGAGGAGGCGUUACUCGCAGAAGAAGCACCGGCUAACUCCGUGCCAGCCGCCGCGGUAAUUC
rnacentral:rRNA from 1 species